rnacentral:rRNA from 1 species
CCUACGGGAGGCAGCAGUAGGGAAUAUUGCUCAAUGGGGGAAACCCUGAAGCAGCAACGCCGCGUGGAGGAUGAAUGUUUUAGGAUUGUAAACUCCUUUUGUUAGAGAAGAUUAUGACGGUAUCUAUCGAAUAAGCACCGGCUAACUCCGUGCCAGCAGCCGCGGUAAUACGGAGGGUGCAUGCGUUACGCGGAAUGCCUGGGCUUAAAGAGUGAGUAGGCGGGGUACUAAGUCAGAUGUGAAAUCCUGUAGCUUAACUACAGAACUGCAUUUGAAACUGGUACUCUGGAGUGUGGGAGAGGUAGGUGGAAUGCUUGGUGUAGGGGUAAAAUCCGUAGAGAUCAAGAGGAAUACUCAUUGCGAAGGCAACCUGCUAGAACGUUACUGACGCUGAUGCACGAAAGCGUGGGGAGCAAACAGGAUUAGAUACCCGAGUAGUC